rnacentral:tRNA from 1 species
GCCUUCGUGGUGUAACGGUAGCACACUCGGCGCGUAUUCAAGAAUUCCAGGGUUCGAGUCCCGGCGAGGGCA